rnacentral:rRNA from 1 species
UUAAGUUAUUAAGGGCGCACGGUGGAUGCCUUGGCACUAGAAGCCGAUGAAGGACGUUACUAACNACGAUAUGCUUUGGGGAGCUGUAAGUAAGCUUUGAUCCAGAGAUUUCCGAAUGGGGAAACCCAGCAUGAGUUAUGUCAUGUUAUCGAUAUGUGAAUACAUAGCAUAUCAGAAGGCACACCCGGAGAACUGAAACAUCUUAGUACCCGGAGGAAGAGAAAGAAAAUUCGAUUCCCUUAGUAGCGGCGAGCGAAACGGGAAGAGCCCAAACCAACAAGCUUGCUUGUUGGGGUUGUAGGACACUCUAUACGGAGUUACAAAGGACGACAUUAGACGAAUCAUCUGGAAAGAUGAAUCAAAGAAGGUAAUAAUCCUGUAGUCGAAAAUGUUGUCUCUCUUGAGUGGAUCCUGAGUACGACGGAGCACGUGAAAUUCCGUCGGAAUCUGGGAGGACCAUCUCCUAAGGCUAAAUACUCUCUAGUGACCGAUAGUGAACCAGUACCGUGAGGGAAAGGUGAAAAGCACCCCGGAAGGGGAGUGAAAUAGAACCUGAAACCGUGUGCUUACAAGUAGUCAGAGCCCGUUAAUGGGUGAUGGCGUGCCUUUUGUAGAAUGAACCGGCGAGUUACGAUUUGAUGCAAGGUUAAGCAGUAAAUGUGGAGCCGUAGCGAAAGCGAGUCUGAAUAGGGCGUUUAGUAUUUGGUCGUAGACCCGAAACCAGGUGAUCUACCCUUGGUCAGGUUGAAGUUCAGGUAACACUGAAUGGAGGACCGAACCGACUUACGUUGAAAAGUGAGCGGAUGAACUGAGGGUAGCGGAGAAAUUCCAAUCGAACCUGGAGAUAGCUGGUUCUCUCCGAAAUAGCUUUAGGGCUAGCCUCAAGUGAUGAUUAUUGGAGGUAGAGCACUGUUUGGACGAGGGGCCCCUCUCGGGUUACCGAAUUCAGACAAACUCCGAAUGCCAAUUAAUUUAACUUGGGAGUCAGAACAUGGGUGAUAAGGUCCAUGUUCGAAAGGGAAACAGCCCAGACCACCAGCUAAGGUCCCAAAAUAUAUGUUAAGUGGAAAAGGAUGUGGCGUUGCCCAGACAACUAGGAUGUUGGCUUAGAAGCAGCCAUCAUUUAAAGAGUGCGUAAUAGCUCACUAGUCGAGUGACACUGCGCCGAAAAUGUACCGGGGCUAAACAUAUUACCGAAGCUGUGGAUUGUCCUUUGGACAAUGGUAGGAGAGCGUUCUAAGGGCGUUGAAGCAUGAUCGUAAGGACAUGUGGAGCGCUUAGAAGUGAGAAUGCCGGUGUGAGUAGCGAAAGACGGGUGAGAAUCCCGUCCACCGAUUGACUAAGGUUUCCAGAGGAAGGCUCGUCCGCUCUGGGUUAGUCGGGUCCUAAGCUGAGGCCGACAGGCGUAGGCGAUGGAUAACAGGUUGAUAUUCCUGUACCACCUAUAAUCGUUUUAAUCGAUGGGGGGACGCAGUAGGAUAGGCGAAGCGUGCGAUUGGAUUGCACGUCUAAGCAGUAAGGCUGAGUAUUAGGCAAAUCCGGUACUCGUUAAGGCUGAGCUGUGAUGGGGAGAAGACAUUGUGUCUUCGAGUCGUUGAUUUCACACUGCCGAGAAAAGCCUCUAGAUAGAAAAUAGGUGCCCGUACCGCAAACCGACACAGGUAGUCAAGAUGAGAAUUCUAAGGUGAGCGAGCGAACUCUCGUUAAGGAACUCGGCAAAAUGACCCCGUAACUUCGGGAGAAGGGGUGCUCUUUAGGGUUAACGCCCAGAAGAGCCGCAGUGAAUAGGCCCAAGCGACUGUUUAUCAAAAACACAGGUCUCUGCUAAACCGUAAGGUGAUGUAUAGGGGCUGACGCCUGCCCGGUGCUGGAAGGUUAAGAGGAGUGGUUAGCUUCUGCGAAGCUACGAAUCGAAGCCCCAGUAAACGGCGGCCGUAACUAUAACGGUCCUAAGGUAGCGAAAUUCCUUGUCGGGUAAGUUCCGACCCGCACGAAAGGCGUAACGAUUUGGGCACUGUCUCAACGAGAGACUCGGUGAAAUCAUAGUACCUGUGAAGAUGCAGGUUACCCGCGACAGGACGGAAAGACCCCGUGGAGCUUUACUGUAGCCUGAUAUUGAAAUUCGGCACAGCUUGUACAGGAUAGGUAGGAGCCUUUGAAACGUGAGCGCUAGCUUACGUGGAGGCGCUGGUGGGAUACUACCCUAGCUGUGUUGGCUUUCUAACCCGCACCACUUAUCGUGGUGGGAGACAGUGUCAGGCGGGCAGUUUGACUGGGGCGGUCGCCUCCUAAAAGGUAACGGAGGCGCUCAAAGGUUCCCUCAGAAUGGUUGGAAAUCAUUCAUAGAGUGUAAAGGCAUAAGGGAGCUUGACUGCGAGACCUACAAGUCGAGCAGGGUCGAAAGACGGACUUAGUGAUCCGGUGGUUCCGCAUGGAAGGGCCAUCGCUCAACGGAUAAAAGCUACCCCGGGGAUAACAGGCUUAUCUCCCCCAAGAGUUCACAUCGACGGGGAGGUUUGGCACCUCGAUGUCGGCUCAUCGCAUCCUGGGGCUGUAGUCGGUCCCAAGGGUUGGGCUGUUCGCCCAUUAAAGCGGUACGCGAGCUGGGUUCAGAACGUCGUGAGACAGUUCGGUCCCUAUCCGUCGUGGGCGUAGGAAAUUUGAGAGGAGCUGUCCUUAGUACGAGAGGACCGGGAUGGACAUACCUCUGGUGUACCAGUUGUCGUGCCAACGGCAUAGCUGGGUAGCUAUGUGUGGACGGGAUAAGUGCUGAAAGCAUCUAAGCAUGAAGCCCCCCUCAAGAUGAGAUUUCCCAACUUCGGUUAUAAGAUCCCUCAAAGAUGAUGAGGUUAAUAGGUUCGAGGUGGAAGCAUGGUGACAUGUGGAGCUGACGAAUACUAAUCGAUCGAAGACUUAAUCAA